CUGCAUCCACUGAUAGACCUUGAACAAUCAGCUGUUGUUCUUUUGGUUUGCACUAGGAUGCGAAAGGAAAACCAUCCCUGCGCUUUCUGUCUGUCUUGUGGCAGCCCAGAUUGAAUAGGGGAAUACAGUA
rnacentral:snoRNA from 1 species